rnacentral:rRNA from 1 species
CCUACGGGAGGCAGCAGUAAGGAAUAUUGGUCAAUGGGCGGAAGCCUGAACCAGCCACGCCGCGUGCAGGAAGACGGCCCUACGGGUUGUAAACUGCUUUUAUACGGGAAUAAACCUCGAUACGUGUAUCGAGCUGAAUGUACUGUAAGAAUAAGGAUCGGCUAACUCCGUGCCAGCAGCCGCGGUAAUACGGAGGAUCCAAGCGUUAUCCGGAUUUAUGGGUUUAAAGGGUGCGUAGGUGGCCUGUUAAGUCAGGGGUGAAAGACGGUAGCUUAACUAUCGCAGUGCCCUUGAUACUGAUGGGCUUGAAUAAACUAGAGGUAGGCGGAAUGUGACAAGUAGCGGUGAAAUGCAUAGAUAUGUCACAGAACACCAAUUGCGAAGGCAGCUUACUAUGGUUUUAUUGACACUGAGGCACGAAAGCGUUGGGGAUCAAACAGGAUUUAGAUACCCUGGUAGUCCACGACCUAACGACUAGAUACUACGUAUAGUGGUCGAUAUACGUACGUAGCGUC